UCGGGGUAUCUACCUGAUCCGAGGUCAACCUUUGGAAAAUUGGGGGGUUUUACGGCAAGAGUCCCUCCGGAUCCCAGUGCGAGACGUAAAGUUACUACGCAAAGGAGGCUCCGGGAGGGUCCGCCACUACCUUUGAGGGCCUACAUCAGCUGUAGGGCCCCAACACCAAGCAGAGCUUGAGGGUUGAAAUGACGCUCGAACAGGCAUGCCCGCCAGAAUGCUGGCGGGCGCAAUGUGCGUUCAAAGAUUCGAUGAUUCACUGAAUUCUGCAAUUCACAUUACUUAUCGCAUUUCGCUGCGUUCUUCAUCGAUGCCAGAACCAAGAGAUCCGUUGUUAAAAGUUUUGAUUAUUUGCUUGUACCACUCAGAAGAAACGUCGUUAAAUCAGAGUUUGGUUAUCCUCCGGCGGGCGCCGACCCGCCCGGAGGCGGGAGGCCGGGAGGGUCGCGGAGACCCUACCCGCCGAAGCAACAGUUAUAGGUAUGUUCACAAAGGGUUAUAGAGCGUAAACUCAGUAAUGAUCCCUCCGCAGGUUCACCCUACGGAA
rnacentral:rRNA from 1 species